GCGUGAAGUUGACCGCCUGGGGAGUACGGCCGCAAGGUUAAAACUCAAAAGGAAUUGACGGGGGACCCGCACAAGCGGUGGAUGAUGUGGAUUAAUUCGAUGCAACGCGAAAAACCUUACCUACCCUUGACAUGUCCAGGAGCCUGAAGAGAUUUGGGUGUGCCCGAAAGGGAACUGGAACACAGGUGCUGCAUGGCUGUCGUCAGCUCGUGUCGUGAGAUGUUGGGGUUAAGUCCCGCAACGAGCGCAACCCUUGUCGUUAAUUGCCAUCAUUCAGUUGGGCACUUUAACGAGACUGCCGGUGACAAACCGGAGGAAGGUGGGGAGUGACGUCAAGGUCCUCAUGGCCCUUAUGGUAGGGCUUCACACGUCAUACAAUGGUCGGUACAAAGGGUCGCCAACCCGCGAGGGGGAGGCCAAUCCCAGAAAGCCGAUCGUAGUCCGGAUCGUAGGCUGCAACUCGCCUGCGUGAAGUCGGAAUCGCUAGUAAUCGUGGAUCAGCAUGUCACGGUGAAUACGUUCCCGGGUCUUGUACAC
rnacentral:rRNA from 1 species